rnacentral:tRNA from 1 species
CAAAAAGAUGUUUAAUUAGAAUAUUAACAUUGGAAGUUAAGGUUGAGUAUUACUUACUUUUUGA